GGCCUGAGCUCAGUGGUAGAUCAUCUGCUUUGGAUGCAGAAGGUCCCGAAUUCAGUCCCCAGCAGCAUCU